UCCGUAGGUGACCUGCGGAGGGAUCAUUACACAAAUAUGAAGGCGGGCUGGAACCUCUCGGGGUUACAGCCUUGCUGAAUUAUUCACCCUUGUCUUUUGCGUACUUCUUGUUUCCUUGGUGGGUUCGCCCACCACUAGGACAAACAUAAACCUUUUGUAAUUGCAAUCAGCGUCAGUAACAAAUUAAUAAUUACAACUUUCAACAACGGAUCUCUUGGUUCUGGCAUCGAUGAAGAACGCAGCGAAAUGCGAUAAGUAGUGUGAAUUGCAGAAUUCAGUGAAUCAUCGAAUCUUUGAACGCACAUUGCGCCCUUUGGUAUUCCAAAGGGCAUGCCUGUUCGAGCGUCAUUUGUACCCUCAAGCUUUGCUUGGUGUUGGGCGUCUUGUCUCUAGCUUUGCUGGAGACUCGCCUUAAAGUAAUUGGCAGCCGGCCUACUGGUUUCGGAGCGCAGCACAAGUCGCACUCUCUAUCAGCAAAGGUCUAGCAUCCAUUAAGCCUUUUUUUCAACUUUUGACCUCGGAUCAGGUAGGGAUACCCGCUGAACUUAAGCAUAUCAAUAAGCGGAGGAAAAGAAACCAACAGGGAUUGCCCUAGUAACGGCGAGUGAAGCGGCAACAGCUCAAAUUUGAAAUCUGGCUCUUUUAGAGUCCGAGUUGUAAUUUGCAGAGGGCGCUUUGGCUUUGGCAGCGGUCCAAGUUCCUUGGAACAGGACGUCACAGAGGGUGAGAAUCCCGUACGUGGUCGCUGGCUAUUGCCGUGUAAAGCCCCUUCGACGAGUCGAGUUGUUUGGGAAUGCAGCUCUAAAUGGGAGGUACAUUUCUUCUAAAGCUAAAUAUUGGCCAGAGACCGAUAGCGCACAAGUAGAGUGAUCGAAAGAUGAAAAGCACUUUGGAAAGAGAGUCAAACAGCACGUGAAAUUGUUGAAAGGGAAGCGCUUGCAGCCAGACUUGCUUACAGUUGCUCAUCCGGGUUUCUACCCGGUGCACUCUUCUGUAGGCAGGCCAGCAUCAGUUUGGGCGGUAGGAUAAAGGUCUCUGUCACGUACCUCCUUUCGGGGAGGCCUUAUAGGGGAGACGACAUACUACCAGCCUGGACUGAGGUCCGCGCAUCUGCUAGGA
rnacentral:rRNA from 1 species